AGCAUUUAGUUUUCUUAGUACGCUCGUAAAACAUGUUACGAAAACUUGUUUACGUUGUUUUUACGAUUCUCGUUUUAAUAACGAUGUCACGGACCAAUCCGAUAAAUUCGGGACCAGAUGACAACAAUCCAAUAAAUAGCCUCUUAUCUAGCAUAUCUGCACUGUUGCCAGCUGGUGAAACCUCAAACAAUUUUAUAAAUAAUUUAUUGAAAAUUAUACGAGAAUUGCGUUUGCCAUGUACAAUAAAUUCCGUCAUUCCAUGGGAAUUAAAUUGUACACAAGUCGAAGUCGAAUAAUAUUACAGAGCACUUGAUACAAUGUGUUUAUGUUUUAUUAAAUAAAAACUCUACAAUACUUAA